rnacentral:lncRNA from 1 species
UUUGAAAUUUCGGUUUUGAGACUUUUCGCCGGCUAUGUGAGAGAUCAGCAAUAAUAGAUGUCGGUGGCUUUUUUCAAGUUCUUUAAGGUGACUUUGUGGAUAUAUGAGACUGAAACUGUUAUGGGUUGAACUCUUUUUCGGUGAGGUACUUCAGUGUGCUAUGUCAAUAUUGUAAUUUGGUUUGCUUGACAUUUUCUGGGUUGUGGUGUUGGUUCUGCGUUGAUGGUGACUUUCUAGACUGUUGUCCCUUUCAUUUUGCUGUUUGGUGGUUUUCUCCUGUCUUUAGUAUGAGCUUUUGGGUGCAUUUAUGGUGUUUUGCUAAUGAUCGCUGCAACAGUGCUAUGGUCGGUAGGCUUUUGGUUUGUUUGUGUGCAUGUUGGACACAUUUAAUCCAUUUAUCAAUUGCAUCGUUGCUAUUGAAUUGGGGUGAUUGACGGGUUUAAUUUUUGUUGAGUUUGCCUUUCUUAGUUUGAUUUGUGUAGAUUAUGCUGAGUCUAGCCUAUGGUUGUAGACUUUAGUUUGUAAUGGUGGCCUUUUAAUACAAUCUCUUUUGCAUCUUUUGCAUGUUAAGUAAACAAUUCCUUUCGCAUUUGAAUGCAACCGUGGCUUCUUUUGUUAAAAGCAUUAUUAAUAGCAAAAGGGAAACACAAACAUUAGAAAGGUGAAGGUUGGAUGAGAAUGUACUACGUGGAC